AGCAAAGCUGGAGGAGAACGAGAGAGAGAAAAAAAAGGAUUGAUUGAAGUGGUCAGGGACAUCUGCAAAAGCCUUCACCUUCCCCCCAUUCCCAAACAACUCAAGGACAGCAGUUGGCUUCGCUUCUGUGACACUCUGGACUAUCACACAUCCAGGCUGGCACCUGGUUGGCAGUGUGAUAAAUCCUGGCUCCUCUGGCUCAGGCUUAUGUACCAGUUAAGGCAGAAGAUUACGAGAGGAUCCAGUGAUGUGGGGCCUCCCACUCCCAACUGACCUACAUCCAGGAGAGGGCCAGGGCUCGCCGUCCCCGACAUCCGCCGGCAGCCCCCGGAUGCUUCCAUCCCGCCAGUGCUAUAAAUACGAGCUCCUCGGGCGCGGUGACGUCCGCCCGGCCGCCCCUACCCACGUGUGUCGGGAGCGGGGACACACGGCCCGGCGCCCCCCGACCCCACACCGCGCCACCGUGGGGCGAAAGCACCGGGACAGCGAGAAAUUCGGGGUCCAACCUCGAGGGUCAAUGAAGAGCAGCAAGGACAACAUCCCACCAUGGGAAGAUGAGAACAGCUGGGCAAGGAAGGAGCAAAAUCUCUUUACACCAGUGAGCCCUGGUGGCCAAACCCCUUCGGCAGGGGGACAGCAUUGCUGUGGGGAUGCAAGGAAGGAAACCUGGCAGAAAGAGGGAAAAUGCCUUCUUCACAGAUGGUAAAAUAGAGGGAAGCAGGAAAACCAGCGUGCCACAGAUGACCCCAUAGCAGGGGCCCCAGCUGUCCACUCUGACCCCUUUCUGGGUCUUGGACCCUGAGCUGUUCCCCUCAGAGAGCAGGGACCCUGCACAUCCAGCUCCGUGUCCUGCCCAGCAGGGAAGGAAAGGGGCGACGGGAAUGGGGUCAUGGAUUCCCACUCCUGCCAAGCACUGGGGAUGCUCAGCGCCUUGGAGAGUUGCUCUGGCUCUGCCUGUGGGCACUGAGCGCACUGGAGAUUUGGGGCUGAAUUCUUGUCCCGUAUUUCUUUCUCUCCAGCUUUCUCUCACCUGCAUUUCCUCCCCACCUGCAUCUCUGCUGCCUCAGCACCUUCCCAUUCCACUGAGGCUUUGGGAAUGGUCACGUAGAGAGCUGAUCCUUGCCCUCAGCACUACCACAUUCCUGCCUGCCCGCAGGUUUUCCAGUCAGGGAUAUUCAGGAAUCAAAUGGAUGUGUGCUCCCCUCCUUCACAGGGAUGCCUGGAGAGCCAAGGGAUAACAGGGGGAAGAGCCUCCCUGCCCAUCCCACACUCCCUAAGCAGGGCAGGCUGGGGAGGAAGGGCAGGUCCAAAGAAAAGGCUGGAUCAAGCAGCAAAUUCCCAGCAAGCAAACAGAUUCAUAAACAAGGAAAUCAAUCCACAGGUCCAGUUUAGGGUCAGUCUGUAGGCUGGAGUCCAGACCAGCUGCAGCUGACCCAGAGACCAGUCCUGACAUAGCUGAGACUAGGACUGAGACCCCUGGGUUGAGCUUAAAAAGAGCUCCUGGGCUGUGGGCACAGGGGUUGGGGUCCCAGGUGGGGUUGGUGAGGAACAUUCAGGUUUAUUAAUGUCCUCAGGGUCCUUACAACAUCCCUCUGCUUAUCAUGCUGGAGCUCUGCAAAGGGAUUUGUCUUAUGAAAGGGAUUUUUCCCUUUUCUUUUACUGUCGGGUUAUUCAAAAUGAGGAUUAUCUUGAGCUCUGUAAUUUUCUGCUUACGGUAAGGAUAAGAACUCAGCAGAGAGCUGGUGCCACCCCAGGAUGCUCCAAGGGUUCCUCUGGCAUCUUGGCACAGCCCCUGUGCCCUGGGUUGUAUCCUCAGGGGGCUGCUGCUGGGAAGCAGCAGCUCCAGGGGCCUGACUGGGACGGGUGCAGGGGAUCCCUGCAGCUGUGGCAUCCUGGAGGUGCCUCUGCACCCCUUUUGCCAGGGUUACAAUCCACCCUGGCAUCAGCCCGCUGCCGGGUGCAAUGUGAUGAGAGGCUGAGACCUGAGCCGCGCCGAUGUGACGCAGAGAUGGGCGAUGGCACCGAGACUUUCCUUGUAUCGGAUGCUCCCACUUUCCGUCCUGUUCCCAACCAGGGCCACCUUGCAUGAAAGAAAAUAUGGAGAGGGCAGGUGGAGGACAGGGGCUCAGGUUACUGCUCCUCUCCAGCUGCCAUGAUCUCCAUUAGGAAUAGGUUUCUGGGGUUUUUUCCCCACUUUUCCAGGUUUGUCUGGGCUCUGUGCUGUGUCCAGCAGCCCUCUCCAUUCCCGCCACCACCAACUCUCCUCUUGGCUGCUCUCCCAAACAGCUCUUCCAAGCUCAUACCUCCUAUGGGGUUGGGACCAGGCAAGAAGGUCCCGCAGGGAUUUGGAAAUCCUCUGGCAUGGGGUUGGGAUGGCACUGGAAUGCUCAGAGAGAAACUGCAAUGGGAAAGGGGAAGCAGAAACCACUCCCUGGGUGUGGGUCCCACUGUAACCAGAGUGGCUGCUCAAGAAGGGCAGUCAGACAAUACUCAGUGUGUAAUUCCUUCACUCUUGUUUUUUCAUCACUCCUGCCUUUCCCAUUUGCUUCUUCUCCAUUUUAAAGGACUCUGCAUUCUCUUUUCCAGCAUUUGUUUCCCUGAUUCCCCACAGCUGGAGCUGUCUGUGCCUUUGUCCCCCCAUCUCUGCUUUUCCUCUCCCACCCCACUGAGCUCAUUUCAGCUAUUCCUUGGCUUGGAGUAACCCAUCCACUCUGUUGUCCUCCAACAAAUAAGCUGACAGGCUAAUGAAUAGCUUCAGAUGGUAAUUAGCAACGGAGUUGCUAAUAAUGAAUUUCAUUUACAUUUUAAGCGCUGCAGAGGGAAAAUAAGCCCCUGUCAUUAAUGCCCCCCUGCUCCCAGCACAGCCUUGGCCUUGUGGGGAAUGCACCCUCUGGAAGCCUUUCUGUGAUUGCACUGCUCCCACCUCCAUUUCGGAGGCUGCGAUAAGCAGAGUUCAUUAAGCAGCAAUUAGAGAUGGAGGGGGGGAGAAGCUGCUGCUGCUUCCAUCAUCCGAUGGUGGGGAAGCGUCAUGAUGCCAUGGAAAAUGGGCCACGGGAGGCAGGAGCUGGUUCUGGGCCAGGAAAGAAGGGCUGGAUGGUUCAGCCAGCACCAGGGAUUCACAUGGCUUGCCCAGAGCCCUGGAGCUGUCAGCCCUCCAUGUCCAUGUAACCCUCCCAGGCUACCUGGAUAAUGACCCCGAGGGAUUUCUCAGUCACUAAAAUCCUUCCUGAUUAUUUCCCUAAGGGUUUAGCACAUUUUGAAGGCAGGAAUUUCCCUGAGGGGUUUAAUCCAUCCCUGCCUGCCCAAGGAAGGAGCCAAGUGCCUUCUGCAUGGAUUCCAUGAAUUGUUGGCAAAAGGAAAGAUGGAGAAAUGUCAUUGUUUUGUCUUGUACCAGUGAGGAAUCCACAGUGGGAAUAGGUUUGCUCACUACUGCAGAGCACCAGAAGGGACUUGGGAAUGCUCAAAGCCUGGAUCUGGUGCUGGGGGUGAGCCUGGGAGUGUUGCCUGCCCUGCCUCAGUUUCCCCCUGUGUACCCAAGGAGCCUCAGGGAGGGUUAGAUGGAUUGGGAAACAAUGCUCUGCAUCUACAGGGGUUUUCCAGCACACUGCUUGUGGAUGGAGGAUCCCAUCCCAUCCCAUCCCAUCCCAUCCCACAGACCCACCCAGACCCCAGUCCAGUGCUUGGAUCAGGGGGUGAUCCAAAUCCACCCCCAUUUAGGCAGUGGUAUCCACAGAAAGCUGCUUUGGGGACCACAGGGAUGUGGGAUCCUCCCUAGAUAGGAUGUGACAGCCACAUCCUGCCUUUACCUCCACGGGCAUGGGAUCGAUUUUAUUAUUUAUUUAUUUAUUUAUGUAUUUUUUUCAAGCCCUGCUAGGAGUGAAACCAAUCCAGGGGCCUCCAGAGGCCGAUAAGAUUUGACUGCAAGUCAAUACUCACAUGUCUUUCCACUGUGCAAUGAUCCCCCGGCCAGCGGGGCGGGAGGGGACAGGCAGGUGACAGGGGCGGGCAGAAGGCCAGCCUGGGGCAGGGACGUCGCCUCUGCUCCGGGAAGGGAUUGGGGGCAAGAAGGGGACAUCUCCUGGCCU